GUGUGCUUCUGAAGACUUUUUCUUCAGGAUUCUCUCUUUAGAGAGGUCUCUUAAUAGACUCAAGUUCAAUACAAUUUAUUUUCUGAAGUUUUAUUUCUCCUUGGCCCUUCUAUUUGGGGAUUUGGAUCUGGAGAGUGAGACACCUUCUUAAUAGUAACUCAACAACAAAGUUAUAAAAGCUACGGCGUUGUGUUUGGGGUUCACAACUCAAUACGUCCCCGUUGUAUAAGAAAACUGUUAUUUUGCGUGUUCUCAUUCGAAGGCUUUAACUCUCUAGAAUAUGAUUCGGCUCAAGAAGUUUUCCUUUUUUUUUUCAUAAUAAACCUAAUAAGAGAAGGAAAAAUCUGUAUAGUUUCAAGUAAAACUUUUCAAUGAUGUUAGCAAAUUUAAUCAAUGACUUCAAGUGAUGAUAGGAUCUGAAGUCAUUUGUGUUUCUAAAGAAGUCUUUAUUAAUAAUUUUAUUGACAUGAAUACAAGAUCCAAACUCUAAACUUUAAAA
rnacentral:lncRNA from 1 species